UUUAUCCCUCGCCUUAUUUAAACACGGCAAGACAGUUUUAUAAAUACCACUGAACUUGUCGUUUAAUGAUGUCAAACUUGAUAAUAAUAGAAAUGGUGUUACUUGGAAUAAUAUAUUUAAAGAUUACUUAUGCCAAAGUGGAGUGUGAACCAUGGCAGUAUGGUCCUCAAUGUGAACACCUCUGUGGUCAAUGUAGGAAUUAUCAGUGUGAUGAUUUAAGUGGAUUGUGUCAGGAAGGAUGCAUGAGUGGUUUUACAGGCGACAGGUGUGAUACACCAUGUCCAAAUACUCGCUUUGGACCAGCAUGUUCACGUGAAUGUGGCAACUGUAAAGCUGGCGUAUGUGUGAAAACCAAUGGUGUUUGUCAUUUGUCGGGCUGUAAAAAAUUGGAGGGUAAUUCAUUGUAUUAUAUGGGAAGAAAAUGUGAACACCAUCUCUCAGCAGAUGCGAAACAAUAUAUACCUUGAUGAAUUUCCUAAUACAAAUUUACAA